GGGGGCAACCCUGAUCCAGCAAUGCCGCGUGAGUGAAGAAGGCCUUCGGGUUGUAAAGCUNUUUUGUCAGGGAAGAAACACCGGCUNUAACACAGUCCGGGAAUGACGGUACCUGAAGAAUAAGCACCGGCUAACUACGUGCCAGCAGCCGCGGUAAUACGUAGGGUGCGAGCGUUAAUCGGAAUUACUGGGCGUAAAGCGUGCGCAGGCGGUUAUACAAGACAGGCGUGAAAUCCCCGGGCUUAACCUGGGAAUGGCGCCUGUGACUGUAUAGCUAGAGUGUGUCAGAGGGGGGUAGAAUUCCACGUGUAGCAGUGAAAUGCGUAGAUAUGUGGAGGAAUACCAAUGGCGAAGGCAGCCCCCUGGGAUAACACUGACGCUCAUGCACGAAAGCGUGGGGAGCAAACAGGAUUAGAUACCCUGGUAGUCCACGCCCUAAACGAUGCUGACUAGUUGUUCGGGAUUUACAUCCUGAGUAACG
rnacentral:rRNA from 1 species